UGGAGGACUGAGAAGGUUGAGCAGCCUGUGCUGCUAUAACUGGUUAUAGCCUCCGAGAGGAACACGCGCAACGCACUCGAUGAAGCGGCUCCGCCCCCAUCGGAGCCGCUCGGUAGUGCUUGUGGACAUUAU